UACAGAGGGUGCGAGCGUUGUCCGGAAUCACUGGGCGUAAAGGGCGCGUAGGUGGCGACCCAAGUCGAUGGUGAAAGCUCGCCGCUCAACGGCGAGUCGGCCACCGAUACUGGGUUGCUGGAGCACUGUAGAGGCAGAUGGAAUUCCGGGUGUAGCGGUGGAAUGCGUAGAGAUCUGGAGGAACACCGGUGGCGAAGGCGGCAUCCUGGACCGGUAUUGACGCUGAGGCGCGAAAGCCAGGGGAGCAAACGGG
rnacentral:rRNA from 1 species